rnacentral:misc_RNA from 1 species
GAAAUGCGAUAAGUAAUGUGAAUUGCAGAAUUCAGUGAAUCAUCGAAUCUUUGAACGCACAUUGCGCCUAUUAGUAUUCUAGUAGGCAUGCCUGUUCGAGCGUCAUUUCAACCAUCAAGCCCCCGGGCUUGUGUUGGGGACCUGCGGCUGCCCGCAGGCCCUGAAAACCAGUGGCGGGCUCGCUGUCACACCGAGCGUAGUAGCAAUCACCUCGCUCAGGGCGUGCUGCGGGUUCCGGCCGUUAAACAGCCUUACAAAACCCAAGGUUGACCUCGGAUCAGGUAGGAAGACCCGCUGAACUUAAGC